GCCCAGGCGAGGUUCAGAGCGUCCAUGGCGACGACGAGCUUGAGCACGGAGGUCAGCACGAACUGGUUCACCUCGUGGCCCUCCAGCCACAGCCUCCGGAACAGCGCCGCAUGCACGGAGUUAUGGAUUCACAGGUUUCAAAUAGUUCAGCUUUCUCUCCACUUUUCCCUCGUAUUAAAACUAUUUUUAUGAUCUAUAGCAAAGGGACUAACUUUUAACUGAUCCCAAAGAUGCAAAGAAGCUAAUGGCUGAUAAUAUACUCGAGCAGGUUCUUUAAAUUAGGAACUAAGUGACUACUAAGUGCUCAGCCUCUGCAACUAAGUGACUACUUGAACUGAAUAGAAGGAACUACAGAAUUUUAACAUACCCUCAACAUCAUCGUCAUCUUUUUCAUCCUCAUCCACAUCAUCGUCUUCUUCAUCGUAGUCGUCAUCAUCCUCGAGGAUAGGCUCAUCUUCCUGAGAAUAUGCAUUCCAAAUACCAUAUUACUUGAUCAUCAUACGUAUUAAACACUAAACAGCGCUGCCUCGAAACAGGGUAUAUGCAGAGGAGGGGAAACAGAGUUGGCCAUAUGCAGAAAUGAAAAAAGGGUAAACAAUCUACUCACGGUAUUAUCUUCCCAGCAUGAAGAUCCAGUGCAUACUAAGCAGCAUCAGCAC
rnacentral:lncRNA from 1 species